rnacentral:rRNA from 1 species
GUAGUCCACGCUGUAAACGAUGGGUGCUAGCCGUUCGGGGGAUACCUCUGAGUGGCGCAGCUAACGCGUUAAGCACCCCGCCUGGGGAGUACGGUCGCAAGAUUAAAACUCAAAGAAAUUGACGGGGACCCGCACAAGCGGUGGAACAUGUGGUUUAAUUCGAGGCAACGCGAAGAACCUUACCAAGACUUGACAUGCCCUCUAUGGGAACCAGAAACGGUUUCCUUCACCUCGGGUGGGAGGAGCACAGGUGCUGCAUGGCUGUCGUCAGCUCGUGUCGUGAGAUGUUGGGUUAAGUCCCGCAACGAGCGCAACCCUCAUCCUCUGUUGCUAACAGGUAAUGCUGAGAACUCUGAGGAAACUGCCGGUGAUAAGCCGGA